rnacentral:rRNA from 1 species
ACAGAGGUCCCGAGCGUUGUUCGGAUUCACUGGGCGUAAAGGGUGCGUAGGUGGUGAGGCAAGUCGGAUGUGAAAUUCUGGAGCUUAACUCCGGAACGGCAUUGGAAACUGCCUUGCUGGAGGGUUGGAGGGGGGACUGGAAUUCUCGGUGUAGCAGUGAAAUGCGUAGAUAUCGAGAGGAACACCGGUGGCGAAGGCGAGUCCCUGGACAACACCUGACACUGAGGCACGAAAGCUAGGGGAGCAAACA